GAGGGUAUAGCUCAAGUGGUAGAGCACAUGCUUAGCGUGCAUGAGGUCCUGGGUUCAAUCCCCAGUACCUCCU
rfam:Camelus ferus unplaced genomic scaffold scaffold803, whole genome shotgun sequence.